UACGGAGGGGGCAAGUGUUGUUCGGAAUUACUGGGCGUAAAGGGCGCGCAGGCGGCUUGGCAAGUCGGGUGUGAAAUACCUCAGCUUAACUGAGGAAUGGCGCUCGAAACUACCUCGCUUGAGGGCGGGAGAGGGAAGUGGAACUCUCGGUGUAGGGGUGAAAUCUGUAGAUAUCGAGAGGAACACCGGUGGCGAAGGCGGCUUCCUGGCCCGUACCUGACGCUGAGGCGCGAAAGCGUGGGGAGCAAACAGG
rnacentral:rRNA from 1 species